GUGAAUCAUCGAAUUUUUGAACGCAAAUUGCACUCUCUUCGGAGAGUAUGCCUGUUUGAGGGUCAGCCUAAAAAAAAAUCGACAUCGUCGCUGUUUCGCGGUGACAUUCGUCGGCACCUGGGUUAUCUUAAACUUCUGGGUUUUAAGCGGCUUAAAAUUUUCUUUACGAUUUUACGACCGUUUCUAAGAUUUACUUCUUCUAUGUUUAAGGU
rnacentral:misc_RNA from 1 species